CCGUUUUGCCCAUUUCGCCGGUCCCAAAAAAAACCUAGCUCCAUAAAUUCACUGCCUUUUCAUUUUCUCCAGUUCCACUACUGCUACUACUGCUACAAUUUAAUGUUUAACUCUCCUCCCACCGCUGCAGAUCCAGAGCUUCCACUGCAGAGAUGAAGGUGGUGGCUGCAUAUUUACUGGCCGUGUUGGGAGGCAACACCUCCCCCUCCGCUGAGCAUAUCAAAGAUAUCCUCAUUUCUGUUGGAGCUUAUACUGAUGAUGAUAGGAUUAAAUUUCUUCUUUCUGAAGUUGAUGGUAAGGAUAUAACAGAACUUAUUGCUGCUGGUCGGGAGCAGUUGGCAUCAGUGCCUUCCGGCUGUGGUGUUGCUGUUGCCGCUGCUGCACCUGGUAGCGGUGGUGGUGCUGCCGCUGCUCCUGCUGCAGCUGAGGCAAAGAAGGAAGAAAAGAUGGAGGAGAAAGAGGAGUCAGAUGAGGACAUGGGCUUCAGUCUGUUCGAUUAAAGAGUUGAUUUGGUUAUAUCACCAUAAGUAUCCCUUUCUUCCUGAUUGAGAGCUUUUAACUGGGCAUUUAAUCGUCUUUUACAUUGGUAUAAUCCUUGAAUCAUAUGUUUUGAUAGAUGAGAUUUUUUUAUGAACUUCCUAUAAUUAAAUGGAUUUGUUCGGUGAAUUAUAAUUUUUUUUAAUCUCAAAAUUAAUUUUAUUAACCAAAUCCGGGGAAAACUUGAUAAUAUAGUCCCUUAUGCACCCAAGCUAAUAGGCCAGCCCCGUAUGGCUCAGUGAAAAUGAUCCCAAAUAACAAGACUAGCAUGCUGAAGAGAAGCCCUUGCAGGAUAAUGGGCCACCCUAUUUAGUGGUCUUUUAACCCAAGCAAUAGACAAACCUGUACCUUGGUUUAUAAGAAGCUUGCAAUCCUCAUUAAGAGCCAAAUUCGAACCAGUCAACCUCAUGCGAACAAAAAACACGUCCUGCGCAUCUACUGCCAUGAAAACAUUGCAAGGAAAGUGUCGCACUAACCAACUUAGUGCCUUCCGAAGAGCAAUCGCCUCAGCAAGUAUAGGAGAGAAACACUCCUACUUAUAAACCGAAGUAGCUAAAUCUGAUUGCCCCUCAUCAUUCCUCAACAAGGCACCGAAGCUUAUCCUAUUCUCCUUUCGAAAACAUGUAGCAUCCUAGAUCAACCAAAGCAUACCCGACGGAGGCAAGAUCCAGCACAUCGACACCACAGCCCCAUUCGUCGAGUCUUGCAAAGAUGAGGCAUUACCACUAGCUGCUUCCCACUCAUGAAGCAAGCGAAAAGAUUAACACCUCCUGUAAAGUUUGCAUUUGAAUGCUGGGAAGAUUUGGAUGCUGCUUUCAUUUUCCAUUUUGUUAUAAAUCUUUAGAUCAUUCUCCUGGGAAGCAAUAAUGUUUUAAUUUUGCUAUAAAUAGGAUUCGAUUAUGUUUCCGAAAGAUAUGAUCAGUUGCUAUCGAUCGAUAUUUGGAAUUUGGGAUUAUGUUUAUUAAGUGCCUGAAAUGACUGGUGCACUUUUUAAUGUUUGUGAGGAGCCAACAGCCGAUGAGUUGACGGUACU
rnacentral:misc_RNA from 1 species